UUAUGUGAUCGUCUCUCGCAUAUCAAUAAGCGGAGGAAAAGAAACUAACAAGGAUUCCCCUAGUAACGGCGAGUGAAGCGGGAAGAGCUCAAAUUUGAAAUCUUAAAGGGUUUCCCUUUACGAAUUGUAGUUUAAAGAAGUGUUUUCUGUUGAGGUUUUGGUAAAAGUUCUUUGGAAUAGGACAUCAUAGAGGGUGAGAAUCCCGUAUUUGACCUUUACUUUCAACUUUGUGAUACACUUUCAAAGAGUCGGAUUGUUUGGGAAUGCAGUCCAAAAUGGGUGGUAAAUUUCAUCUAAAGCUAAAUAUUGGCGAGAGACCGAUAGCGAACAAGUACCGUGAGGGAAAGAUGAAAAGAACUUUGAAAAGAGAGUUAAACAGUACGUGAAAUUGUCAAAAGGGAAGCGUUUGACACCAGUGUUGUUUUUCUGAAAAUCAAUUAAAGAACUGUUUAUGCUAAGUUGUUUAGACUUUAUCAGCUAUCUGUUUAGUUUUGAGCUUUUCUUUAAUGCACUUUUCAGUUAACAAGUCAACAUCAAUUUCUUUUGCUGUAAAAAAGCUUGAGGAAGGUGGCUUGAGAUUCGUCUUAAGUGUUUAUAGCCUCUUGCCUAUGCAGUCGGAGAGAUUGAGGUCUGCAGCGUAGAUCCUUCGGGGCUAAAUGCAUUUGUGCUAAGUUAUAGCAUUUUAUAGACAACUUGUUGACUAUGAUUUGUCUUGUAGCUUACUCGCUUAUGUUAUUUUACCUACGCUUAGGAUGUUGAGUAGCGACAUACGCAC
rnacentral:rRNA from 1 species